ACAUGUGACAAGGCGGAGACCUUAUCAAAAGUGUCGGAAGACUGCCCCCUCUAAAGGAUGUUUUGCCUUGAACAUUUUGCGAAUUAAUGUAGGCUAUAACAAACACGGUCGAGAAUUCAAAUUGGUCAGACCGCGAUGUUCCAAUGUUUAGAAUGGCAAAGUAGUUUGUUCCAAUGUUUUUUAAAUGGUCUUGCGGUUUAGAAAAACUACGACUCCUGGAAUAAUUUGCCGGCGCUGGCUAUUGGUGAAGCGUCUUCAUCUGUCGAGCAGCGUAGGCGGGACUCUAAGCUGCAGAUCUGAAGAGACGAGAGCGGUUGAGGCUGUGCUAUUCUGUACCGUUGCGAGAGCAUCUCUACCGCUCAGCUACAGCGACUGUGUCACAGCACCCGGAUCCAGCAAGCUUUGGGACUUGACUGGCGGAGCCGAAGGCAUUCCCACUAGAGGAGCCUAUAAUUCCUUGCUGGGUGUAACUGAACGCCUCACCUGGAUAAAAUCGUCCUCGUACGCAAAGGAAAAAAUAUAUAAUAAAUAAAGAGUCAAGCGUCAGCACAUUUGGCUGAAGGAAGCAAGAAGAAAAUGAUUCUCAAGCAACAUUUUCUCUUUGCCCUUUAUAGCAUCUGUGGGAUCAUUCUAAAAGUGACGGCAGUGAAAAACAAAGUGAGAGGCAGCCAGGGUCAGUUUCCCAUCGCUCAGAAUGUGACAGUGGCUGAAGGAACAACGGCUAACAUGACCUGCCGCGUGGACCACAAUGACAACACCUCCCUCCAGUGGUCGAACCCGGCACAGCAGACCCUUUUCUUCGGGGACAAGAAAGCGCUGAGGGACAACCGGAUCGAGCUGGUUCACGCCUCCUGGCAGGAGCUGACCAUCAGCAUCAGCGAGGUGACCCUGUCGGACGAAGGACAGUACACCUGCUCCCUCUUCACCAUGCCCGUCAAAACCGCCAAGGCCUUCCUCACCGUGCUGGGGGUCCCGGAGAAGCCCGAGAUCGCGGGGUUCACGAAGCCGGCGGCGGAAGGGGACGAGAUCACGCUGACCUGCGUGACCUCCGGGAGCAAGCCCGCCGCCGACAUCCGAUGGUUCCGGAACGAGAAGGAGGUCCAAGGUGCCAAGGAGGUGAACGCCAGCGGAAAGACGUUCACGGUGAGGAGCACUCUGCAGCUCCAGGUGGACCGCAACGAUGAUGGAGUGGCCUACACCUGCAGGGUGGACCACGUGUCGCUCACCUCCUCCUCCCACCAGGCGACGGAGGUCCUGGAGGUCCACUAUGCUCCCCGUGUAGAGAUCAUACACUCGUUGACGUUCCCACAAGAAGGGCAGUACUUGAAACUGGAGUGUGCGUCCAAAGGCAAUCCUUUACCGGAUCCGGUGCUGUGGACCAAAGACGGGGGCGAGCUGCCCGAUAUCGACCGAAUGAUCGUGGAGGGCCCGGAGCUGACCAUCACGUCCCUGAACAAGACCGACAACGGCACGUACCGCUGCGAGGCCAGCAACCACCUGGGGACCAGCGGCGCCGAAUACGUGCUGUUCGUAUACGAUGUUCCCAUCCCAGUCCUUCCAUCCUCAGCACCCACCGCACCACGCACUCCUGCAGACAUGACCGCUCUCUUAGCCCCCCACGCCACCGAGCCCGCAAGCAGGGGCUUACUGAAAGAUUUCUGCUAUCUGGAGCACUGUACAAAGGGUCUGAGAAGCAGUGAUCAAACGCCAUGGCAACUGCCAAAGACUUUCCGGGGCCGACGACAGAUCCUAAUGCUCUGGGACAGGCUGGGCCUGACCAUGCUGUAAUCGGGGGAGUAGUCGCAGUAGUUGUUUUCAUCACCUUGUGUUUGAUCAUUGUGCUGGGGCGCUAUCUGGCAAGGCAUAAAGGGACCUACUUAACGCACGAGGCCAAGGGAGCGGAGGACGCGCCUGACGCGGACACGGCCAUCAUCAACGCCGAGGGCAACCAGGCCCACGCGGAGGAGAAGAAAGAGUACUUCAUUUAGACCCCCCCGCCCCCCUCUCCCCGUCUCACCGAGGUUUCGGGUGGAAACUGGCCGCCAGCGGAAGAGCGUUCCUAUUUAAGCCCACCCCCCACCCCCCCAGAGCUGGCCUGGCCCUCAGCCCUCUCUUCUCCUCUCCCGGCCUACCUUUUUCGUUUCUGCUCAAGAAAAAAUUCGCUUUUGUUUUUAGUCGAAACCGAUUUAUACAGCCGGCUAGCAACUGAAGAUGUCGCCUUUUUCUAUUCACGUUGUCCGGUGAAGGAGGACUUCUAGAACCGUCUAACCCACACCCCCAGUGACCCGUCCCUUAGACAUGCUUUCACAGUGCCUAAAUAUACAGACAUGCAUAGAAUUUUCACUGUAAAUUAUCAAUGUAAUUAUUAUUAUUAUUAUUAGCAUUAUUAUUAUUAAAAUAAUUCAUGCGAAACAUUGACAGUCUUGUUUAAAAAGCCAUGCCAAUAUCUUGUAACAAUCUAAACUUAGAUUCAUUGUUAAAUAAUUCAUUCUGUGAAAUGUAUCUUUGAUGUAAAGUUGAUGGGUUUGAAAAAGGGUUCGGUGUGAAUAAAAUUAAGGGACUGAAAGGCUUCUAAUGAAGCUGAGACUUCUCAAGCUUUUUGAAAGUUAAUGUACAAUAAGUUAGUGUACCUGAGAUGAAUGAAUGAAUGAAUGAAUGAAUGAAUGAAUGAAUGAAUGAUAAAAUAUCUUAGCAUUUUUGUAAUAUAAACAAGCUCUGUUAGUUGUACUGUUGAUUUGAAAUUUACAUUCCUUCCUUGUCUGUAUAUUCUUGCACUGUUUGGCUUAUACUUUUUUUUUUCCUCAAGUUUCAUAUAAAAUAUAAGAAAUGAAGCACAAAAUUGAUUUUAGAAACAAUAUUACUUUCCUAACCAAUGGGCUGUCUCAGGAUUGAAAGUGAGUCUAAUUUAUUACUAUAUUAAAAGGGAAUUGGCUCUCCCUGACUCAAUCCAGUCAAUUAAUACAAUCGGGUUCAACAGUGUAUUCAGUGCUUACGUGAAACAUCAGAAUCCUUUCAAAAUUUUACUAAAGAUAAAUAUAUUUUUUUCCUUUUUAUGAUGAAUCAGGCCCUUGUUGAUGCAGCUGUAUAUGAUGUUUGCUAAAUGUGGUUACUAGUGAAAGUUGUUGUCAGACUUUGGGAUCCCUUGAACAUUGAAAUUUGUAUAUUAGCCAAUUUAUCCAUCUGAAAUAUUCAAUAAAACUUUUCCAUUUUU